UACGUAGGGGGCAAGCGUUGUCCGGAUUUAUUGGGCGUAAAGAGCGUGUAGGCGGCCAAGCAGGUCCGCUGUGAAAAACUCGAGGCUCAACCUCGAGACGUCGGUGGAAACCGUUUGGCUAGAGUCCGGAAGAGGAGAGUGGAAUUCCCGGUGUAGCGGUGAAAUGCGCAGAGUAUCGGGAAGAACACCCGUGGCGAAGGCGGCUCUCUGGGACGGUACUGACGCUGAGACGCGAAAGCGUGGGGAGCGAACAGG
rnacentral:rRNA from 1 species